rnacentral:tRNA from 1 species
GGGGCCAUAGCUCAAUUGGUAGAGCGUCUGCAUGGCAUGCAGAAGGUCAGCGGUUCGAUUCCGCUUGGCUCCACCA